UGUAGUUUACCUCCUCCUCCCCCCCCCAGCAAGCUGGGGACUACAACUCCCAGAAGGGAGUAAGCCAAGCGCCAUUUUGAAGAUGUGGGUGUUCUUUAAAUGAGCAGGCGGCAAUAACUGUGCUUUCGAGCCUCCGCAACUGCGUGGGGGUGUCCGAGCCCCCUACGGGGAGGGCGGUGCUGCAUAGAAGGGCCCAGAAUUGUAGCCUCCCUGCCAGGAGAGGGGAAGGAGGGUAACAUAAUCACCCUUUGAGGUCCAUUGGAGAAGUAUGCAGACCUUUUGGAGAGCGUACAACAAGCCUUAUCUGAGCAGAUGGACCAUCACUGUUUGAAGGAGCAUCUAGUCAAAAUUAUAAGUAUCCUAAAGAACUCUCUCCACUAGUUUUGAUAAACUCAUUCGGUAAUGAUGUAACUCUUUUGUAGUGCAGGGAUUAACAACUUCCUCUAUACAGACGGUGAGAUGCUAGAUUUUAUUUUCUUGCAGCAGUUUGCGGGGGGGAAAAACACCUUAUUUUUAAUAGGACUUAUUAAAAUGCUGUUCAGUUUUCAUUAUUUCCAAUUAGAAAGAGCUUGCUUUUCCAAUAUCUAAGAGUUUAAGAGUAAUUGAAACUUUUUUUAAAGAAGAAACUAACACAAAAUCUGAUGUGAUAGGUGUCCUUAUUACAAAGAUAUGAAAUGUUGAUUGUAUACUGUCAAGAAAUAUUAUAUUAGUUGGAUAGAUUCUUUAUUCUUAUUUUUAGAAGUUGCAUUUUUUAUUCAAUUUAUUAUUCUAUCAAAGAAUAUUACUUUGAAAUGCACCUGGCAAGUUGAGCACGGAGCAUUGAGUCAGUAAGUGUAAAAAGUAAGUAAGUCUUUUUAAGGAAGCAAAAAUAAAAUUCUCUUAGUGCUGCCUUGUUUCUCUCUCUCACUCCCUUUGCUGUAUAGAAAUAUUGUACUCUGAAAAACAGUGUAAGUGGGGAAGAUCUGCAUUCAGGAAUCUGCUUUCAACCUUU